rnacentral:lncRNA from 1 species
GUCCUCGGCCCCCGCCCCAUUCCGUUCGCGGUACGUACGUCCUUGCCCGUCACCCUCCAAAGGCUAUCCUUUAUGUUUCCCUCCAUCGAAUCCUAGCCGCGCUCUACCUUGGGCCUCUGCUAGGUCUUGCCUCACUCGAAGAAAGCGCAGAAAUCGAAAACGCGGGUGAGAGUUUGUCCUCUGCGGUUCCCGUGUACCCAGAUAUGGCGGCCGAAGCGGCGCCGCGGAGGUAGCUGUAGUUCCGGCGCCUUCACCGUGUGCCCGAGGAGGCUGCCUGGCUGGGCUCCAGCCUCCUGGCGGUUCUCCGCUCCGCAACCCCAGCAACUUCUUUGCACUGCAGAAUUUUGAAGCGCCAUUAGCUUUGAGGAGGGUUCAUGCUCAGUUGCCCAGGCAGGAGUGCAGUGGCGCGAUCAUACCUCACUGCAGCCUCAACCUCCUGGGCUCAUGUGAUCCUCCCGCCUCAGCGUCCCGAGUAUCUGGGACCACAGAUGCGCACCACCAAGCCCAGCUAAGGUUUCUAUUUUUUCUUUCUCUUUUUUUUUGGAGACACGGUCUAGUUCUGUUGCCAGGACUGGUCUGGAACUCCUGGGCUCCAGCGAUCCUCCAGUCUUGGUCUCCUGAAGUGCUAGGAUUACAGGUGUGAGCCACCGCGCCUGGUCUUUUUUUCUUUUGAGACAGUCUCGCCCUGUCGCCCAGGCUAGAGUGCAGGGGCACCAUCAUAGCUCGCCCCAGUCUUGAACCCCUGGUUCUAGCGAUCCUCCUGCUUCAGCCUCCUGGAGUGCUGGGAAUACAGGCGUGCACGCCCCUCUAAAUUUUUUUUGGUUUUUUUUGAGACGGAGUCUUGUUCUGUCGCCCAGGCUAGAGUGCAGUGGCGUGAUCUCAGCUCACUGCAACCUCCGCCUCCUGGGUUCAAGCGAUUCUCCUGUCUCAGCCUCCCGAGUAACUGGGAUUACAGGCGCCCACCACCAUGCGUGGCUUUUUUUUUUGAGACGGAGUCUCGCUCUAUCACCCAGGCUGGAGUGCAGUGGCACGAUCUUGGCUCACUGCCAGCUCCGCCUCCCGGGUUCCCGCCAUUCUUCUGCCUCAGCCUCCCGAGUAGCUGGGACUGCAGGCGCCUGCCACCACACCCGGCUAAUUUUUUGUAUUUUUAGUAGAGACGGGCUUUCACCGUAUUAGCCAGGAUGGUCUCGAUCUCCUAAUCUUGUUAUCCACCCGCCUUGGCCUCCCAAAGUGCUGGGAUUACAGGCGUGAGUCACCGCGCCCAGCCGCCCGGCUAAUUUUUGUAUUUUUGGUAGAGACGAGGUUUCUCCAUGUUGGCCAGGCUGCUCUCGAACUCCUACACUCAGGUGAUCCGCCUGCCUCGGCCUCCCAAAGUGCUAGGAUUACAGGUGUGAGUCACUGCGCCCAGCCUCCAGGCUGGUCUUGACCUUUUGGACUCAAGUGAUCCUCCCAUCUCCACCUCUGCAGUAACUGGGACUACAGGCGCUGCACCACCAGCCCUGCAGUCUUCUUUGUGUGUGUGUGUGUGUGUAGAAUUGGGGUUUCACUAUGUUGCUCAGGCUGGAGCUUGAGCUUAACAAGACAGCGGCCAUUCUGGGUGCUGCCUCAUCGACCAGCUAGCUAUGUGUGCCCGGCUGUUGUUUGAAACUUUGGGCCCAGCUAGUUUUUAGAAAAAAAGAAAAAAGUUUAAUAGCGAUAUAGAAAAUUGAGCACCUAAAUUAUCAGCAACUCCAGGCCAUGACCCAGUGUCCCAUUCUCCUUCACGGUUUGCUGGUGUGUAGCCUCCUGGAUACAGGCAAUGUAUAUAGAUCGCAGAGAAUGUCCGUUCUGGCCUCUUCCUUGGAAGGGUCUAAAAACAGACCUUAAGGAGCUAAGUGACUUCCCCAAAGCCCACAGCUCCAGUGCCACUGCUGACUUUUGGGUGGGGGUGGGAUCAGUUAAAGAGGAAAGCUUUCAGUACUGUCAGCACAUACACCUGCCAAUUAAGGGGCUGGAUAGAGUUCAUCUCUAGGAGCAGGACCUCCACCCCCACCCUCCACCCCAGAAGCCAUGUCAUGCUGUUUCACCAGGAUCUUGCCUGAGGUUAGAUGGGAGAGAACAGCUACAAGCUUGGGUGGAGUCACUCAUAAACACACCCUGAAAGCUGUGGAGCAGGGAGAGUGCAGGCUUUAGAGGGCUCUCCAUGAUCCCUUCCCCUCCUGGGGGCUCAAAGGCAAGGGUCAAAGAUCUUCUCGGUCAAGUUUGGGGUGGCUUCCUGUCUUGGUCAUCUUGUCUCCCCCUUCCUCUUCCUCCUCUUCCUCCUCCUCCUCCUGCUCUUCCUCCCCUUCUGUUUUCUCUUCCCCAUCUGUGAUCUCCUUUCCAGUCCAAGUUUCCUGUAGACAUGCUAGAUCGGAUGACAGAAAACAAUUUAGAUAUUAGUCCUGGAGGCAGGGGAGGCUAUGGCUUGGCAGGAGAGGAGUUCAACCCUUACGCUUACCAGUUUCAGCAGCUGGGAGCACAUGACCUUCACAGAGAAAAUUUUGUAGGGGCUGCUCCUGAUGGUGGAAGUACCAGUCUCCCACAAUGUCUUCAAACUCCUCCAACAUGGUCUCACACUGGUCAAGUAGAAGGGCCAGAAGAGUAUCUGCUCUGGAGGGAUUUGGGAUCCCGCCUGUCUUCUCUCCCUGCUCAACCUGACUGAUUUUGGAGAGGCAGGUAGCCAGGAAGCUAAGUUUGGCCUACUAGAUGUGCAAUCCUCAUUCAUUCAACAAACAUUUACCAGCACCUAUUCUGCCAAGUAGAUUAUUAAACUCUUGAGUCUCAGCUCCUUGCCUGUAAAAUAUGUAUGGUAAUUGCACCUACCACAUCAGGCUGUUAAGGGUAAAAUGAGGCUACAGAUGCAAAGUAUCUGGUCCAGAGUCUGGGACACAGUAGGUGCUCAAUAAGUGAUGGUGGAUAUCAUUAGCAACCAUUGUUACUUUUUUUUUUUUUUGAGAUGGAGUCUCGCUCUGUCACCCAGGCUGGACUGCAGUGGUGGGAUCUCAGCUCACUGCAACCUCCGCCUCCCGGGUUCAAGUGAUUCUCCUGCCUCAGCUUCCUGAGUAGCUGGGACUACAGAUGCAUGCCACCACACCACCACGCCCGGCUAAUUCUUGUAUUUUUAGUAGAGACAGGGUUUCACUAUGAUGGCCCGGCUGGUCUUGAACCCCUGAUGUCGUGAUCCGCCUGCCUCAGCCUCCCAAAUUGCUGGGAUUACAGGUGUGAGCCACCGCACCCCACCGCUCCUGGACCCACUUUAAUCAAUGGCACAGUCCUCACUCUGGCCCCUUCCCCAUGCUUAGGGGUAGACAUCCCCUAUAGUCAAACCCUAGAACCUAGCUCCCCUCUCAGGUUCCCUUCUCACCUCCCUGGAUGGUGCAGUGUCUUAUCCUACCUGCUUCUUGAGGUAUGUGACCUCCACGCUGGGCUCAUCCCAAAGCUCCAGAGGGAUCCCCAGAUCCACCUUCACCCCCUUCUGCACUAGGCCUUUCAGUGUUGCCAUGGUCUGACUCUGACCCUGAGAGAUUAAGAAUUUGGCAUCAGCCCAGCUCACCACCCCACCCCUCCCUUCCCCUUUCUGCCAUUUCAGUUUUGUCAACUACUGGAGAUUCAAGGGUGAGUUCCAUGAUGGUGAGAUGAUGGGCAGAUAACCUCUGGAGGGCCUCAGGGGAUACAGAUCUUUGUAUCUGAGAAGUGGGGUCCUGCCCUGGGGAAGGGUCUGACCUUGGCAUAUCUCAGUGAGCCCUUGCGCUCAGCGUGAACACUAUAGUCCAGGAUCCGCUCACAUAAAUUCUCUAAGGCCUCUUCCAGCCUUGUCUCUCUGUGGAAAGAGAGGAAACAAAGAUUCCCUGGAUGCUGUAGGAACUCCCAGGGCUCCGUUGGGGGUUGGAAAGGGGAGGAGCACGAAGGACUCACGAAACGCUGUAAGGCACGUGUCUCUUCCUCUUGCCUGUAUCCAGCACCUGCCCCAGCUCCAGCACCUCUCGAGAUCGACCGGUGCGACUCAGUUCCGCCUGUAGCUCUGUGCUCAGCAGCUUACACACUGGUGGGGAGGAGAAACGUCCGGGGGGAGGUAAAAGACAAACACACCAGCCAUUCAUUCUGCAGAUGACCUGAGGCAGCAGAGCAUACAAGUGCAGACUAUGGAGCCAGACUGGCUGGGUUGGAAUCCUGGCUCAGCCAUUUAGCAGCUGUGUGGCAAUCUUCCUGCUUGCUGUGCCUCGGUUUCUUCAUCUUUUUUUUUUUUUUUUUCAGACGGACUCUCGCUCUGUCGCCCAGGCUGUAGUGCAGUGGCGCAGUCUCGGCUCACUGCCAGCUCCGCCUCCUGGGUUCACGCCAUUCUCCUGCCUCAGUCUCCCGAGUAGCUGGGACUACAGGCACCCACCACCACGCCCGGCUAAUUUUUUGUAUUUUUAGUAGAGACAGGGUUUCACCGUGUUAGCCAGGAUGGUCUCGAUCAGCUGACCUUGUGAUCCGCCCGCCUUGGCCUCCCAAAGUACUGGGAUUACAGGCGUGAGCCACCACGCCCGGCCGGUUUCUUCAUCUUUAUAAUGGGAUAAUAGGCCAGGAGUGGUGGCUCACACCUGUAAUCCCAGCACUUUGGGAGGCUGAGGCGGGCAGAUCACUUGAGGAGUUCAAGACCAGCCUGGCCCACAUGGUGAAACCCCAUCUCUAUUAAAAAUACAAAAACUAGCCAGGUGUGGUGGUGCGCACCUGUAAUAGCUACUCGGGAAGCUGAGGCAGGAGAAUCACUCGAACCCAGGAGGUGGAGGUUGCAGUGAGCUGAGAUCCCACCACUGCACCCCAGCCCAGGCAACAAAGGGAGACUCCAUCUUAAAAAAAGUAAAAUACAUUAAAAAUAAAUAGGCCAGCACAGUGACUCAUGCCUGUAAUCCCAACACUUUGGGAGGCUGAGGUGGGUGGAUCACGAGGUCAAGAGAUUGAGACCAUCCUGGCCAACAUAGUGAAACCUUGUCUCUACUAAAAAUACAAAAAUUAGCUGGGCAUGGUGGCGGGCGCCUGUAAUCCCAGCUACUUGGGAGGCUGAGGCAGGAGAAUCGCUUGAACCCGGGAGGC